ensembl:misc_RNA
AGUGUGUCCUUUCUCUCCUGACUUUUUAGCAGCCCUGGGCAAAUAUUGAUUUGCCCCCAGCUUACCUUCUCACUGACUAGCCAUUUGCAGACUAAGUAAGCAACCUCUGUGAAGACUUGAUUUUUGUUACUUGGAGCCCUUUUCAUCCACUGCCUCCCCCCCCCCCCAUUCCUUCCUCCCUCUAAGUAGCAUUGUAAAACUCAAUAGCGACAAAGAGACAAAGUAGGGUUCCAGGCUCCAGUUCUUGGAGACUUGAGGGCUUGAGGGCAGUUUACAUACAGGUCAGACACGGCUGGAGGCCAAGGUCAAGUUGAAAGUUGCUGUCUAGUCAGCGUGAGAAACUGCAAUGAAAGCCUGGAGUCUAGGGCAGUACCGAGGCUCACUGCCCACCUUCCCUUA